AGUGAAUGCAAAGUGAGCUGUGUUCCUCCUCUACUUCUGUGACUGCAGAGAGGAUGACAGAGAACAGUGGACACACAGUUGAACAUGAUGGACUAUAGGACAGGACUGCUGCUUUUAACUGUCUGCUGGGCAGGUGUUGAUGCUCAGACUCUGACACAAUCUGAACCAGUGGUUAAAAGUCCUGGACAAUCCCACAGACUGACCUGUACAGCCUCUGGGUUCACAUUCAGCAGCUACUACAUGGCUUGGGUCAGACAGGCUCCUGGACAAGGACUGGAGUGGAUCACAGCUAUCAGCGAGGGCAGUAGCUACAUCCACUACUCUGACUCAGUCAGAGGCCGGUUCACCAUCUCCAGAGACAACAGCAGAGACCAGGUGUAUCUGCAGAUGAACAGUCUGAAGGCUGAAGACUCUGCUGUGUAUUACUGUGCCAGAGACACACAGUGACACAUCCUACCAGCAGAGCUGAACAAAAACCCUCAGAGCCUGAACACCAAACACAAAGCCACCAGAGGAGGCGCUCUAACACCACAAGUCAUUAAAACAACACUUGAUACAUAUACAACAUACAGCAAUGAAAUAUUAAUACAACAAAAGGAGACUG